AAUCUAAAACCAGAGUGCCUCUGGUGCUGGUGGGAGGAGAAUAUCCCAAGGAGCCGGAGCCCUUCCUGAGAUGAAGAGCCAGGCGCCCCUUGGGGACCCCGAGAAAGAGCAACAAGUAGUCCCCUCCGCCGCAGAGCUAUCAGGAGAGUCUGUAUCUGAAGAAGGAAGACAGCUGGGGUUCCAGGAGAAAACUACAGAAGCCAGUCCACACAGUGUGGACUUUGGGGGCUCAGCUGCCAGUUGGUCUGAGCCCUGGAAUGGACUUGCUGUGUGGCCUUGGGAAAACCAUGUAGCCUCUCUGUUCUGUUUCUUUGUUUGUGCUAAAUCAUUGCUGAGGCUUCCUCCUGCACCAGUUUUCCAUUGCCGCUGUGAGUGGACAUGAGUCUUGACCAAAUCAUAAGUGUCUAGUUAAUGGGAUAAAAAUGAGUUAGAAUCUGGGAUUCUGGUCCUUAACCCCAUGUCACCAUCUGCUGGAGCAGUGUGAUGACAGGGCCAGGUGAAUCGGAGUCACCCAACACUUGUUACACACGCAGAUUCCUGCUCUGCUCCCCCUCCCACUACCCAUGCCCCACUGAGUCCAAACCUCGAGGGCGGGGCCUAGAAGGCCCCAUUCCUUUAUGGGUUCAUGGAGGGCAGAACAGCGACCCCACCCGGAGCCAGCCAUGCAUCAGUAGCUCUUCCUAUGAAUCAGGCAUGCCAAGGUGGUUUCUGGAAUCUUGUGCUUGUAUUUCCCUCUGCCUGGAAAGAUUUCCCAUAUGGCUGGUUUCUUCUCAUGUGUCACCUGUUCAGAGAGGCCUUGGCUGGCCUCCCCGUCUCUACUCACUAUCCCAUCACGUGUUUCCUUUUCUUCUCAACACUGUCAUUUUCUGAAGUUCAUCUCAUCUCCUUGUAAAUUAUCUGUUGCUCCUACUGGAACAUAGACCUCCCAUCCCCCCCCCCCCCCCCCCGACUCCCACCCCCAGGGGCAGAAACCCUGCCUGGCUUAUUGGAGGCUAUACCCCAGCACGAGGCCCAUGGGAGGUGCUCAGUAAUAUAAGAAUUCAUGAAUAAAUGGACACUGGAGGAAUCCUCUUAUCUCUGAUGCUGAAGAUGCUUCUCUGAGAUGCAAGAAUGGACACCCUCUCCCUACCCUGGGGGACCUAGGCCUGCCCUGGGCGCGGUUUCUGAGGAAGACGAGGGGCACCUCCUGCCUCCCCACCCUGCCCAUUGCUUCCCCAGCACCCAGAGAAGACCUCAGUGGAGCCAGAGCCGCGCAUCCAGCAGAGAGUCUCAGCUGGGGUUAUAGGACAGGAAAACCUUGACUUCAGGGGCCAUGGACUAAGUUCUCCUUACUUCAUCGUCUCCAAAACCACGGGUGCCAGUGAAGCUGAGGUUAGAUGUGAACUGAGUGCUGCUUACCCACCAGAUCUUCCCUGCCGCCUGACUUUGACUGGACGGCUGACCUUGACACUUCCCAUACAAGCUUCUCUCUACUUUGCUAACCUGAUAGA
rnacentral:lncRNA from 1 species